rnacentral:rRNA from 1 species
AUUGAACGCUGGCGGCAUGCCUUACACAUGCAAGUCGAACGGCAUCGCGGGAAAGCUUGCUUUCCUGGCGGCGAGUGGCGAACGGGUGAGUAACACAUCGGAACGUACCGGCUAGUGGGGGAUAACCCGUCGAAAGACGGGCUAAUACCGCAUACGCUCCUCGGAGGAAAGCAGGGGACCUUUGGGCCUUGCGCUAGCCGAGCGGCCGAUGUCCGAUUAGCUAGUUGGUGGGGUAAAGGCCUACCAAGGCGACGAUCGGUAGCGGGUCUGAGAGGACGAUCCGCCACACUGGGACUGAGACACGGCCCAGACUCCUACGGGAGGCAGCAGUGGGGAAUCUUGGACAAUGGGGGCAACCCUGAUCCAGCAAUGCCGCGUGGGUGAAGAAGGCCUUCGGGUUGUAAAGCCCUUUCGGCAGGGAAGAAAUCGGCGGGGCGAAUAACCCUGCUGGAUGACGGUACCUGCAGAAGAAGCACCGGCUAACUACGUG